GGGAGGCAUCCUCGUGGUGUUUCCAGUGGCGGACGGGUGAGUAACGCGUAAGAACUUGCCCUUGGGAGGGGGACAACAACUGGAAACGGCUGCUAAUACCCCGUAAGCUGAGGAGCAGAAGGGAGGGAUCCGCCCAAGGAGGGGCUUGCGUCUGAUUAGCUGGUUGGUGAGGCAAUGGCUUACCAAGGCGACGAUCAGUAGCUGGUCUGAGAGGAUGAUCAGCCACACUGGGGCUGAGACACGGCCCAGACUCCGUA
rnacentral:rRNA from 1 species